CUGCAUCCUUUGAGCUCAUAGGCUUAUCCAAAUCCUUCUACUUUGUCUCUGGCCGUUCCCUCCAAUGCAUCCAGUUAGCCGCUAAUCAGUUCUGAAGCUAUGCCUUCCUCCACACUUCAGCUACUCGUGUAUCUUCCUCCAGUAAACCCUGCAACAAACCUAGAAGAUGCCCCAUCAACCAAAUCCCUCUUCUCUGUUCUUCUCCGACCAACUGCAAAACGUCCUUCUCCGCUCUCCUACACUGCUCGUUUUCUCACUCAAAGGUCGCGCCUUGCUAUCCGGGUUGAGGCUAAGCUAAGGAGCUCCGAAGUCAGCAAGGGAAGUGCUCUUCCUGAUGCGAAGAGGAGGAAGGAGAUUGUCCUUUUCGACGCCGCGCCGCCGAUAUUGAAGGAAUCUCGCCGCGGCGGCGGCAUUGUUGAGAGUGGAACAGUGCCGGAUGAAAAGCGAAAAAGUGGCGGAUUUGAUCUGUUGUUUUUGCUCAAGAAAUUGCCGAAGAGAGUAUUGGCUGCCCUCUCUAAUCUCCCGUUGGCUAUUGGCGAGAUGUUCACCAUCGCGACUCUUAUGGCUCUGGCUACUGUCAUUGAUCAAGGGGAGGCUCCUGAUUUCUAUUUCCAGAAGUUUCCUGAGGAAAAUCCUAUAUUUGGUUUUGUAACUUGGAGAUGGGUGCUUAGCCUUGGUUUUGACCACAUGUUUACAUCGCCUAUUUUCUUAGGCAUGUUGGUGCUUCUGGCAGCAUCGCUUAUGUCCUGUACAUACACAACCCAGAUCCCUAUGGUUAAAGUUGCUAGAAGAUGGUCUUUCAUCCACUCUGCUGAGGCUAUUCAUAAACUAGAGUUUUCUGAUUCUCUUCCACGUGCAUCCAUUCAGGAUGUGGGUGUUAUUUUGAUGGGUGCUGGAUAUGAGGUAUUUUUGAAAGGUCCAGCAUUGUAUGCUUUCAAGGGGAUGGCUGGUCGGUUUGCUCCCAUUGGAGUGCAUUUAGCCAUGUUAUUGAUUAUGACUGGAGCAACCCUUAGUGCUGCUGGCAGCUUUCGUGGCUCAGUGACUGUUCCUCAAGGGCUGAAUUUUGUUGUUGCAGAUGUUAUGUCUCCUGCUGGCUUUCUUUCCAAACCAACAGAAGCCUUUAAUACUGAAGUUCAUAUCAAUAAAUUCUUUAUGGAUUACUACGAGAGUGGAGAAGUUUCUCAGUUUCACAGUGAUAUCUCAUUAUUUGAUGUUAAUGGUAAGGAGCUCAUGAGGAAAACCAUUAGUGUAAAUGAUCCCUUGAGGUAUGGAGGGAUUACAAUCUACCAAACCGAUUGGGGUUUCUCAGCCCUUCAAGUAUCAAAGGAUGGCCAAGGCCCUUUCAAUUUGGCUAUGGCUCCGUUGCAGAGAAAUGGAGAUAAGAAGCUUUAUGGAACUUUCCUCCCUGUUGGAGAUACUAAUUCCUCUAGUGUCAAUGGAAUAUCAAUGCUUGCUCGGGAUCUACAGUCCAUUGCCUUAUAUGACCAAGAGGGGAAAUUUGUGGGAGUUCGACGUCCUAGCUCAAAACUUCCAAUUGAUAUUGAUGGAAUGAAAAUUGUGAUCGAAGAUGCAAUUGGUAGUACUGGCCUUGACUUGAAGACGGAUCCCGGGGUGCCUACUGUCUAUGCUGGAUUUGGUGCUCUAAUGCUCACAACCUGCAUCAGCUAUCUGUCUCAUUCACAGAUAUGGGCCUUACAAGAUGGAACCACCGUUGUUGUUGGAGGUAAAACAAACCGAGCAAAGCUUGAAUUUCCUGAUGAGAUGAAUUGUUUACUUGAUAAAGUACCAGAGCUGGUGGAUGCUGAUGAGAAGAAGAAUAAUUGAUGGUGAGGUAACUGGAAUAUCUUCUUCUCUGCUUCUCAGUAUGAUUGGAUGAACUCCCAAGUUUUAGAAUAUUGUGAAAAAGUUUCACAGCAGAUUAGAGUUGCUCAGAAUUCGGCUUCAAUCAAUUGUUCGAUGAUCCAGAAAAUUUAUCGAGACGUACGAGAAAUUAUUAUGUGCAGACGCCGAACGUAGUUUACCAUCCGGAGACUAAUCAGAAUGCAUCACGUCAGCAGUACUGAGCCGGGCACUGAGCAGUACCGAGCCGCGGUACCGAGCAAUAUCGAGCCAAGUACCGAGCAGGAGGUGACGUGACACAUUCUGGUUGAUCUCUGAACGGCGUUCAGCGUCGCAUAGAGUAAUUUCUCUAGAUGCACACACUACCAUCCAUAUUAGAAGGAUAAGAGCCAUUUUCUUAACUCAUUCUGUACUAUUCAUCACAUCUUUGAAGGUUGAAAAGUAAACUAUAUGUUAAAUUUUUAAUAUUACAUGGGACUUUAAAAAGGAUUGGAAAAGAGAAA